rnacentral:rRNA from 1 species
UACGUAGGGCGCAAGCGUUGUCCGGAAUUAUUGGGCGUAAAGAGCUCGUAGGUGGCUUGUCGCGUCUGCCGUGAAAGCCCAUGGCUUAACUGUGGGUCUGCGGUGGAUACGGGCUGGCUAGAGGUAGGUAGGGGGCAGAGGGAAUUUCCGGUGGAGCGGUGAAAUGCGUAGAGAUCGGAAAGAACACCAACGGCGAAAGCACUCUGCUGGGCCGACACUGACACUGAGAGACGAAAGCUAGGGGAGCGAAUGGG